GCAGAUUAUACUGUACUCCUGCUGCUACUAUUUAAGUGUCCCCUUUCAGUGGAGGCAGGAGCGGCGAAGGAAGGAAGAAUCUGGUGGUGGUGGUGGUGCAGACUGCAGACAGGCAAAAGGAAGGAGGAGAGAUCAUCAACCAAAACAAAAAUAAAAGAUGGCGGGGGGAAUAGUGAGCAAAGUAGGUGACUGGGGGUUCAAGGCGUUCACGGCAGGACUAGGAGUUACUACCCUAUACCUAGCCGCUACUUUCUCCGUCAACGUCUACCGUGGCCUCUCUUGGCAUUCUGCCCAAUCGAAAAUUGAGAACGAGGGUGCUAAGGAUCAGAAGCCAGAAUGAAUGUUACUGAAGUUCUUAAGAGUUUUGAUCAACUGCUAAUUUGUGGGCGGAUACACUAAAUUUUGACGAGACAGUUAAGACUUACUAUUCUCUUGUUACACUGUGACCUCAUUAGACAAUCAAUAAUAUUGCUAAGCAUGGUCUCCUCAUGUUGUUAGAGAUACUUUCUUCGACUUUGCAUUGAUCAACUCCUUGCGGAUUAAUGACUAGUGGCCUGUUCUGGAAUUGGGCAAACUGAAGGCCUCAGAGCGGUAAUAUAUUGUCUGAUACUUUUUGAUCCAAUGAAUAGAGGAACUUGCUGUUUGUAUAUCAGCGUUCUUGAGUCGUCUUGUGAUAGUUUCUAGGUGUUGUGCUCGUCUUUGAUAGUUCAUUAGGGAUUUGGAUCUCUCUUUGUCCGUGGUCGCGGAAAACGAUCCGGUUGCUGAAUUUAUUUUUGUAAUGGGGAAACUGUUCUUAAAUUGUUGGCCGGGAUUCGAACUUAUCCAGCUUUGCUCUUUCGUCUUUUCGGAGGGGAACACUAAAUUCUUUCUUACGAAGAAUUUGCUCCAGGGCACGGGCAUUUCUUUCUUACGAAGAUCUCGAAGCAGUUUUGGGGCUGUUAAGUGGACCCAUGUGCCCAUUUCUGAGAGAGUUUCUUCAGCAUUGUCUGCACGCAUAUUCUUUUUGGUCAUUUUGUAACCCGGGUACAUACAGAAUCAAUUAAUGUACACUACAUUUCCCCUCGCA